rnacentral:rRNA from 1 species
UGCCGGUUUGUUCCGCGCCGGGGUCGGCUUCGCGGUCGGCUUCGCGUGGGCGACGGUCGGGUGGCGCGCUCACUUUUGGUGACUCUGGAUAACUCACUGGUCGAUCGCACGGGUUUCAGCCCGGCGACGGGUCCCCCGAGGGUCCGCCCUAUCAACU